UAACAGGCUUAUCUCCCCCAAGAGUCCACAUCGACGGGGAGGUUUGGCACCUCGAUGUCGGCUCAUCACAUCCUGGGGCUGUAGUAGGUCCCAAGGGUUGGGCUGUUCGCCCAUUAAAGUGGCACGCGAGCUGGGUUCAGAACGUCGUGAGACAGUUCGGUCCCUAUCCGUCGCAGGCGUAGGAAAUUUGAGAAGACCUGUCCUUAGUACGAGAGGACCGGGAUGGACGUACCUCUGGUGUACCAGUUGUUCUGCCAAGGGCAUGGCUGGGUAGCUAUGUACGGAAUGGAUAAGCGCUGAAAGCAUCUAAGCGCGAAGCCAACUUUAAGAUAAGAUUUCCCACCGCAAGGGUAAGACCCCAGAAAGACUAUCUGGUUGAUAGGUCGAAGGUGUAAGUGCAGCAAUGUAUUUAGCUUAUCGAUACUAAUAGGUCGAGGACUUGACCAAU
rnacentral:rRNA from 1 species